AAGAUACUUAUAGAAUGAUAUUUUGCUUCUUCCACCACUCUUCAUGCAGGUACUUACACCUAGGGACUUCACAGAUUUUCAUGGGGGCUAUGAAGAAUCCCGUAACAUUUAAUAGCAAAGAAGGUGAUCUUUCUUAAAACAUUGAGUAAAUUUCACUCAUUUAAUACAGAGAACUCCUCUAUGUUUACUAUUCUGCUGCACAACUGUAACCCUCUGACUCAAAAUAAGAAUCAUUAAAAUUAGGUAACAACUUUUUAUCUUUCCAUUUCUAUUUAUUCUCCUUAUGAAUCAAAAAUACCAUGAAGUUGAAUAGCUCUGUGCAUUAUCUGCUACCACUACUACAAAUGAAAUGUUUCUCUGACAUGCUGAAUCUUUAAUGUAGAGAUUUGGAUAAUGCAUAUCGUUAUUAAGUGUAACAGCCAAAAACAGUCCUAAUAACAGUAUAAACUCAUGGAUGAUAAACAGACUGAUAUUCUCAAAUAUUCUGCUUUAAAUCUGGGUGUCUGAUAGGUAGAUAACCAUAAAUAUGUUACAUUUUAAAUGUUCUCAGAUUAUUUGUAUCUGCCCACAUAUGUUGACCUGGAUCUGUUCAAAAGACUUAAGAUAUUAGAUUCAGCUUCAUGCUCUUUUUGGUGGUGACCAGCAAUAGGACAAGGGGCAACAGGUAUGAACUGCAACAGAGGUAUUUGCAUGCAAACAUGAGGAAAAACAUUUUCACUGUGAAGUUGACAGAACACUGAAAUGAACUGCCCAGGGAGGUUGUGGAGUAUCUUUCUCUGGAAGUAUUCAAAACCUGCCUGGUCAAUUUCCUGUGCAACCUACUCUAGGGAGUCUGCUUUAGCAGGGCUUUCAGACUAGAUGAUGUCCAGAGGUCCCUUCCAUCCUCUACAGUUCUGUGAUUCUGCAUGAUUCUGUAAACAUAUUUUUGAGCUUAUUUGCAAAUUUAUUCACUUUUUCAUUAAUAUAACAAUCUUGAAAGAGAUGAAAAGGUUCACUGAUGGAGUUUUCUCCUAUGAAUAGAAAUAAAUAGAAUUCGGUAAAUGGAAGACUUGGAGAA
rnacentral:lncRNA from 1 species